AUGAACGCUGGCGGCGUGCCUAAUACAUGCAAGUCGAGCGAACAGACGAGGAGCUUGCUCCUCUGACGUUAGCGGCGGACGGGUGAGUAACACGUGGAUAACCUACCUAUAAGACUGGGAUAACUUCGGGAAACCGGAGCUAAUAUCGGAUAAUAUAUUGAACCGCAUGGUUCAAUAGUGAAAGACGGUUUUGCUGUCACUUAUAGAUGGAUCCGCGCCGCAUUAGCUAGUUGGUAAGGUAACGGCUUACCAAGGCGACGAUGCGUAGCCGACCUGAGAGGGUGAUCGGCCACACUGGAACUGAGACACGGUCCAGACUCCUACGGGAGGCAGCAGUAGGGAAUCUUCCGCAAUGGGCGAAAGCCUGACGGAGCAACGCCGCGUGAGUGAUGAAGGUCUUCGGAUCGUAAAACUCUGUUAUUAGGGAAGAACAAAUGUGUAAGUAACUAUGCACGUCUUGACGGUACCUAAUCAGAAAGCCACGGCUAACUACGUG
rnacentral:rRNA from 1 species